AUGCUCAUGCUUACAGCACACGUCCUAAAACUGGAACGAUAGUGAGAUGAGCAUGGCUCCUGUGCAAGAACGACACUCAAAUUUGUGAAGCACUCCAUAUUUGA
ensembl:snRNA U6 U6 spliceosomal RNA